AUUGAACGCUGGCGGCAGGCCUAACACAUGCAAGUCGAACGAGUGGCGGACGGGUGAGUACUGUCUGGGAAACUGCCCGAUGGAGGGGGAUCACUACUGGAAACUGUAGCUAAUACCGCAUUCCAUCGGAUGUGCCCAGAUGGGAUUAGCUAGGAGGUGGGGUAACGGCGCACCUAGGCGACUAUCCCUAGCUGGUCUGAGAGGAUGACCAGCCACACUGGAACGUAGACACGGUCCAGACUCCUACGGGAGGCAGCAGUGGGGAAUAUUGGACAAUGGGCGAAACCCUGAUGCAGCCAUGCCGCGUGUAUGAAGAAGGCCUUCGGGUUGUAAAGUACUUUCGGCGGGAAGGCGGUACUCGCAGAAGAAGCACCGGCUAACUCCGUGCCAGCCGCCGCGGUAAUUC
rnacentral:rRNA from 1 species